GUUUCGGCUGGAGGCCAGCCUUUUUCAAACAUGAAAGUUUCUCAUGGGCACAUGGUCUUCAAGUGGUACUUGAAGACCAUGUGCCCAUGAGAAACUUUCAUGUUUGAAAAAGGCUGGCCUCCAGCCGAAACGUCAGAAU
rnacentral:pre_miRNA from 1 species